AUGGAGAUGAAGAAGAUUGCCUGCGCCGUCCUCAUCGCCGCAUCGGCGACCGUUGCCCUCGCUGCCGAUGGUCCGGCCCUUGCCCCGGCGGGAGCCCUGGCGGGAGCCCCGGCGGCGGGAGCCUCCGCAGCAACCGGCGCCUUCCCGGCCGUCGGCGCGGUGCUCGGCGCCUCCGUACUCUCCUUCUUGUCUUACUACAUGCAGUAA
rnacentral:rRNA from 1 species